AACGCGAAGAACCUUACCCGGGCUUGACAUCCUGUGACAUCCUAAGAGAUUAGGUUUUCUAGCAAUAGAACACAGAGACAGGUGCUGCAUGGCUGUCGUCAGCUCGUGCCGUGAGGUGUUGGGUUAAGUCCCGCAACGAGCGCAACCCUUGUCGUGUGUUGGUCGAAAGAUCUCUCACGCGAGACCGCCGGUGACAAGCCGGAGGAAGGUGGGGAUGACGUCAAGUCAGCAUGGCCCUUACGUCCGGGGCUACACACGUGCUACAAUGGAAGGGACAGCGAGUCGCUAACCCGCGAGGGCAAGCUAAUCUCUUAAACCCUUCCUCAGUUCGGAUUGGAGGCUGCAACUCGCCUCCAUGAAGUCGGAAUCGCUAGUAACCGCAGAUCAGCUACGCUGCGGUGAAUACGUUCCCGGGCCUUGUA
rnacentral:rRNA from 2 species